AUGGUGAUAUGGGCUGAUACAUUGCUAAAUUACAUGAUACAAACUCACUUCUUUUUUGAUUUUUGGUUUACUUUGUUGUGCUACAAUGGCUCUCCUAGGAAUGUUCUUCCAUGCUUUGAUGUGCACAAUCCAGAAAGUGCAUGCAUCCAGAAACCAAAUAGGAUUUUUUUGUGUUAUCUUCUCUUAAAUCUUGUGCUUGUCCAAUAA
rnacentral:rRNA from 1 species